GGCUCAGUUCAGUUCCCAUGGAUCGGACUGGGUUCGGCUUGGCUCAGCCCUGCUCCGCUCAGCCUGGCUCAGCCCAGCUCGGCUCGGCUUGGCUCAGAUUGAUUGGACUGGGUUCGGCUCAGCUUGGCUCAGCUCGGCUCGGUUCGGAUUGAUCGGGCUGGGUUCAGCCCAGCCCAGCCCGGCUCAGCUUGGUUUGGCUCGGCUCAGGUCGAUCGGACUGGGUUCAGCCUGGCUUGGCUCGGCCCAGCUCAGCUCAGCUCAGCUCGGAUUGAUCAGACUGGGUUCAGCUUGGCUCAGCUCAGCCCAGCACGACUCAAUUGGACUGGGUUCAGCUCGGAUCGGAUCAGAUCGACUCAGAUCGAUUGGACUGGGUACAGCUCAGCUCAGAUCGGCACGGCUCGACUCGGAUCAGCUCGAUUGGACUGGAUUCGGCUUGGCUUGGAUCAAUUGCUUGGGCUGGGUUCAGCUCAGCUCGCAUCACAUCGGAUUUGCUUGGAUCACAUCGAUUGGACUGGGUUCAGCUCGGAUUGGAUCGAACCAGCGCAGCUGGGCUCAGCUUGGAUUGGCUUGGAUUGGGUCAGCGCUGCCUUGAUCAGAUCAAUCGGAGUGGGGUUGGCUUUGGACUGGGUUCAACUCAGCUCAGCUCAGCUUGGUUGGGCUGGGUUCAGUUUGGCACAGGUCGAAUCAGCUUGGAUCAGAUUGGAUCGAUUGGGCUGGGUAUGGCUUGGCUCAGUGCGACUCGGAUCAGACCAGAUCAUUUUGGAUCAGAUUAGAUCACUUCGUUUCAGCUCAGCUCGAUUCGGAUCACAUCAGUUCAGCUCAGCUCAAUUUGGAUUGGAUCAGCUCAGUUCAACUCUGCUCAGCUGGGUUUGGCUCAACUCAGCUCAGUAUGAUUCGGAUCAGAUCGGUUUGAUUCUGCUCAGCUCGGCACAGCACGGCCUGGUUCAAUUCAGCUCAGCUCAACCUACCUUGGCUUGGCUGGAUCUGGCUCAGCUCAAUUCGGCUUGGUUCAGCUCAGUUUGGCUCAGCUCAGCAGAGCUCGGAUCGGUUUGGCUCGGCUGUGUUCAGCUGGGCUCGGCUCAGUGGGCACAUGGCACUCACAGCACACGAAUGGAUCCAUGCAAACCUCCCCCCACGUGUACCUGCGUGCAUGCACGCCCACAAGCGCACGUGGGUGCACGCACACCCGUGGCCACAUACACAUGCACACAUACGUGGGUGCGCAGCCCCCAGCACCCGCGCCUGGACGUGCGUGCAUGUGCACGUGUUUGUGUGCAUGCACCCGCCUAUCUGUGUGCACACAUACCCUACAUGUGUGCGCGCACACACACUCAAGUACACACAUCCCCAUGGACACACACACACAGGUGCACGUGUGUGCACACGGUCCCCAUGUGCAUGCACACCCAUAUGGAUCCACUCCCCCACGUAUACACAGCUGUGCGCACAAGCACGCACAAAUACCCCAUGCACGCACAGAGGCAAGCACACAAAUGCGCACACACGUGUCCAUGCACACGCGUGCACACAGACCCC
rnacentral:lncRNA from 1 species